GAUGAAGAACGCAGCGAAAUGCGAUACGUAAUGUGAAUUGCAAAUUCAGUGAAUCAUCGAGUCUUUGAACGCACAUUGCGCCCCCUGGUAUUCCGGGGGGCAUGCCUGUCCGAGCGUCAUUGCUGCCCUCAAGCACGGCUUGUGUGUUGGGCCUCGUCCUCCGAUCCCGGGGGACGGGCCCGAAAGGCAGCGGCGGCACCGCGUCCGGUCCUCGAGCGUAUGGGGCUUUGUCACCCGCUCUGUAGGCCCGGCCGGCGCUUGCCGAUCAACCCAAAUUUUUAUCCAGGUUGACCUCGGAUCAGGUAGGGAUACCCGCUGAACUUAAGCAUAUCAAUAAGCGGAGGA
rnacentral:misc_RNA from 1 species